GAAAGUUAAGAAACUGUUUCUUAACUUUUAACUAAAAAAGUUAAGAACCGGUUCUUAAAUAAAUAAGGAUUUUAAGAACCGGUUCUUAGUUUUUUUAGUUAAAAGUUAAGAAAUUGUUUCUUAAUUUCC
rfam:Brassica napus, WGS project CCCW01000000 data, contig: 17014